rnacentral:rRNA from 1 species
GGCGGCGUGCUCUAAUACAUGCAMGUCGAGCGGACAGAAGGGAGCUUGCUCCCGGAUGUUAGCGGCGGACGGGUGAGUAACACGUGGGUAACCUGCCUGUAAGACUGGGAUAACUCCGGGAAACCGGAGCUAAUACCGGAUAGUUCCUUGAACCGCAUGGUUCAAGGAUGAAAGACGGUUUCGGCUGUCACUUACAGAUGGACCCGCGGCGCAUUAGCUAGUUGGUGAGGUAACGGCUCACCAAGGCGACGAUGCGUAGCCGACCUGAGAGGGUGAUCGGCCACACUGGGACUGAGACACGGCCCAGACUCCUACGGGAGGCAGCAGUAGGGAAUCUUCCGCAUGGACGAAAGUCUGACGAGCAAACGCCGCGUGAGUGAUGAAGUUUUCGGAUCGUAAAGCUCUGUUGUUAGGAAGAACAAGUNCAAGAGUAACUGCUUGCACCUUGACGGUACCUANCCAGAAAAGCCACGGCAAGUA